rnacentral:rRNA from 2 species
AGUGGAUUAGCGGCGGACGGGUGAGUAACACGUGGGUAACCUGCCUCAAAGUGGGGGAUAGCCUUCCGAAAGGAAGAUUAAUACCGCAUAAUAUAAGAGAAUCGCAUGAUUUUCUUAUCAAAGAUUUAUUGCUUUGAGAUGGACCCGCGGCGCAUUAGCUAGUUGGUAAGGUAACGGCUUACCAAGGCAACGAUGCGUAGCCGACCUGAGAGGGUGAUCGGCCACAUUGGAACUGAGACACGGUCCAGACUCCUACGGGAGGCAGCAGUGGGGAAUAUUGCGCAAUGGGGGAAACCCUGACGCAGCAACGCCGCGUGGGUGAUGAAGGUCUUCGGAUUGUAAAGCCCUGUUUUCUAGGACGAUAAUGACGGUACUAGAGGAGGAAGCCACGGCUAACUACGUGCCAGCAGCCGCGGUAAUACGUAGGUGGCGAGCGUUGUCCGGAUUUACUGGGCGUAAAGGGUGCGUAGGCGGAUGUUUAAGUGGGAUGUGAAAUCCCCGGGCUUAACCUGGGGGCUGCAUUCCAAACUGGAUAUCUAGAGUGCAGGAGAGGAAAGCGGAAUUCCUAGUGUAGCGGUGAAAUGCGUAGAGAUUAGGAAGAACACCAGUGGCGAAGGCGGCUUUCUGGACUGUAACUGACGCUGAGGCACGAAAGCGUGGGUAGCAAACAGGAUUAGAUACCCUGGUAGUCCACGCCGUAAACGAUGGAUACUAGGUGUAGGGGGUAUCAACUCCCCCUGUGCCGCAGUUAACACAAUAAGUAUCCCGCCUGGGGAGUACGGUCGCAAGAUUAAAACUCAAAGGAAUUGACGGGGGCCCGCACAAGCAGCGGAGCAUGUGGUUUAAUUCGAAGCAACGCGAAGAACCUUACCUGGACUUGACAUCCCUUGCAUAGCCUAGAGAUAGGUGAAGCCCUUCGGGGCAAGGAGACAGGUGGUGCAUGGUUGUCGUCAGCUCGUGUCGUGAGAUGUUAGGUUAAGUCCUGCAACGAGCGCAACCCUUGUUAUUAGUUGCUACCAUUAAGUUGAGCACUCUAAUGAGACUGCCUGGGUAACCAGGAGGAAGGUGGGGAUGACGUCAA